rnacentral:rRNA from 1 species
CCCUUAGAUGUCCGGGGCUGCACGCGCGCUACACUGAAGGAAUCAGCGUGCUAAAACCAUUGUCGAAAGGCAUUGGUAAACCCAUUAAAAUCCUACGUGAUUGGGAUCGGGAAUUGCAAUUAUUUCCCUUGAACGAGGAAUUCCCAGUAAGUGUGGGUCAUAAGCUCUCGUUGAUUACGUCCCUGCCCUUUGUACACACCGCCCGUCGCUGCCCGGGACUGAGCCGUUUCGAGAAAAGCGGGGACUGCUGCUGUCGGGGCUUUCGGGCCUUGGCUUCGGUGGAAACCGCUUUAAUCGCAGUGGCUUGAACCGGGCAAAAGUCGUAACA